CAGCCGCCGCGGUAAUACGUAGGUGGCAAGCGUUGCUCGGAAUUACUGGGCGUAAAGGGAGCGUAGGCGGGUCGUUUAGUCAGAGGUGAAAUCCCGGGGCUCAACCUCGGAACUGCCUUUGAUACUGGCGACCUUGAGUAUGGGAGAGGUGAGUGGAACUCCGAGUGUAGAGGUGAAAUUCGUAGAUAUUCGGAAGAACACCAGUGGCGAAAGCGACUCACUGGCCCAUUACUGACGCUGAGGCUCGAAAGCGUGGGGAGCAAACAGGAUUAGAUACCCCCGUAGUCCCUGUCUCUUAUAC
rnacentral:rRNA from 1 species